UAGGGAAUCUUCGGCAAUGGACGAAAGUCUGACCGAGCAACGCCGCGUGAGUGAAGAAGGUUUUCGGAUCGUAAAACUCUGUUGUUAGAGAAGAACAAGGACGUUAGUAACUGAACGUCACCUGACGGUAUCUAACCAGAAAGCCACGGCUAACUACGUGCCAGCAGCCGCGGUAAUACGUAGGUGGCAAGCGUUGUCCGGAUUUAUUGGGCGUAAAGCGAGCGCAGGCGGUUUCUUAAGUCUGAUGUGAAAGCCCCCGGCUCAACCGGGGAGGGUCAUUGGAAACUGGGAGACUUGAGUGCAGAAGAGGAGAGUGGAAUUCCAUGUGUAGCGGUGAAAUGCGUAGAUAUAUGGAGGAACACCAGUGGCGAAGGCGGCUAUCUGGUCUGUAACUGACGCUGAGGCUCGAAGGCGUGGGGAGCAAACAGG
rnacentral:rRNA from 1 species